CGGGCUGUGGCGCAGCUUGGUAGCGCAUCCGCUUUGGGAGCGGAGGGUCGCAGGUUCAAAUCCUGUCAGCCCGACCG
rnacentral:tRNA from 1 species